AUCGUGGGUUUCAAAAUCCACGGUGAGGGAUGUAUCAAAACGUAAUUGUAUUUUCGCCCAAAACGUUUUGUGCGACAAGAGGCUCCUCCCCCACCUCUGACGUCAGGCCAAUGGCAAAGCAUAGAACUCAAAACGUAUUGCAUUCCCCUUGCAUGUUCUGUACGUAUGUGUUUCUAUAUAGAGACACGGCAUUUUCUGGUCGGCGGUAGUCUCCUAGCAAACAGUAAGGAACUAGAGAGAGAGAGAGGCAAUCGCAGUAAUUUGGAAAUAACUACUGUGGUCUCUUUAGGAGGAAAAUUUUCCCAUUCUGACAACACGGAAAAGAUCCAGUGCGCUUGUACUGCCUCCUUUCCUCUGGAUUUAUACAUUUGUGGUGCUGUAGGACCUACUGAGUGAAUCAUACGCCCCACCCCACAGCCGUCACACGCUGUAACGAGGGUUGUUCCCUUGUUACGCUCCCACAACCGUCACACGCUGUAACGAGGGUUGUUCCCUUGUUACGCU